rnacentral:siRNA from 1 species
UAUAUGUUUAUGACAAUAUAAGU